rnacentral:rRNA from 1 species
UACGAAGGGUGCAAGCGUUAAUCGGAAUUACUGGGCGUAAAGGGUGCGUAGGCGGUUCGUUAAGUCUGUCGUGAAAUCCCCGGGCUCAACCUGGGAAUGGCGAUGGAUACUGGCGAGCUAGAGUGCGGUAGAGGAAGGUGGAAUUCCCGGUGUAGCGGUGAAAUGCGUAGAGAUCGGGAGGAACACCAGUGGCGAAGGCGGCCUUCUGGACCAGCACUGACACUCAAGCACGAAAGCGUGGGGAGCAAACAGG